UCUUGAAAAAAUAUAUGCAUUUCGGUGAAAUCCCAGUGUUGAGUUCGCUCUUCUCAAGAGUAGAUUUCAUCCCUCAAGUAUUUUUCCAAGUUCCACCUUUUUGAAAAAUGUAUUCAUUUUGGUGAAAUCUAAGUGUUGAGCUCUUUCUUCACAAGACUAGAUUUCAUCCCUCAAGGAUUUUUCCAAGUUCCACCUCUCGGAAAAAAAUAU
rnacentral:sRNA from 1 species